UGUCAGCGAGCUUGUUACGCCCACAAUCUUUUUUGGAGCAGUUAUAACUUCGAAAAACCACAGGUUCCAGUUAAUCUUAUAAUGGAUGUGUGUUGAGGCAUUUAAACAAACAAUCGGGGAAAUAAACACCUCUUGUCUGCCAGUCUCCUGAGAGAGCUCCAGCCAGCUCACAGCAGGGUGUGUGAAGGCGGACAGGCCAGGCUGCAAGCCAGCGACCCUGGCAGGCACCGGCCGGCUGUCACGUCAGACCGCGGAGCUUCUGAGCUCUGACACAGUCAGACCAAAUUUGCAAUUAGCCAUCAAUUUUCGUAAAACGACCCAUAUUUGAGCUCUACAUAAUUGACUUGUCACAU